GAUGAACGCUGGCGGCGUGCCUAAUACAUGCAAGUCGAGCGAACAGAUAAGGAGCUUGCUCCUUUGACGUUAGCGGCGGACGGGUGAGUAACACGUGGGUAACCUACCUAUAAGACUGGGAUAACUUCGGGAAACCGGAGCUAAUACCGGAUAACAUAUUGAACCGCAUGGUUCAAUAGUGAAAGGCGGCUUUGCUGUCACUUAUAGAUGGAUCCGCGCCGUAUUAGCUAGUUGGUAAGGUAACGGCUUACCAAGGCAACGAUACGUAGCCGACCUGAGAGGGUGAUCGGCCACACUGGAACUGAGACACGGUCCAGACUCCUACGGGAGGCAGCAGUAGGGAAUCUUCCGCAAUGGGCGAAAGCCUGACGGAGCAACGCCGCGUGAGUGAUGAAGGUCUUCGGAUCGUAAAACUCUGUUAUCAGGGAAGAACAAAUGUGUAAGUAACUGUGCACAUCUUGACGGUACCUGAUCAGAAAGCCACGGCUAACUACGUG
rnacentral:rRNA from 1 species